AUUGAACGCUGGCGGCAGGCUUAACACAUGCAAGUCGAACGGCAGCGCGGACUUCGGUCUGGCGGCGAGUGGCGAACGGGUGAGUAAUGUAUCGGAACGUACCAUUCAGUGGGGGAUAACGCAGCGAAAGUUGCGCUAAUACCGCAUAUUCUGUGCGCAGGAAAGCAGGGGAUCGCAAGACCUUGCGCUGAUUGAGCGGCCGAUAUCAGAUUAGCUAGUUGGUGAGGUAAAGGCUCACCAAGGCGACGAUCUGUAGCGGGUCUGAGAGGAUGAUCCGCCACACUGGAACUGAGAAACGGUCCAGACUCCUACGGGGGGCAGCAGUGGGGAAUUUUGGACAAGGGGCGCAAGCCUGAUCCAGCCAUGCCGCGUGAGUGAAGAAGGCCUUCGGGUUGUAAAGCUCUUUCGGCCGGGAAGAAAUCGUAUGGGUUAAUACCCUGUGCGGAUGACGGUACCGGCAUAAGAAGCACCGGCUAACUACGUGCCAGCCGCCGCCGUAAAAC
rnacentral:rRNA from 1 species